GGAAUAUAAGAACCCGUUUCUGAAUUUUUAACUAAAAAAAUUAAGAAUUGGUUCUUAAAUAAGAGUUUUAAAAACCAGUUUUUAAUUUUUUUAGUUAAAAGUUAAGAGACGAGUUCUUAUAUUCC
rfam:Brassica napus, WGS project CCCW01000000 data, contig: 19459